CAGUCUCCUGAUUGAUGGUUGAACUUCCUUCACUACCCCCUGUGAACACAAGGACAACACAAGAGGCUGUAGCAGAGGAAGAAUUUGACACUACACAAGUGCUAAUCCCACCAUCGCGGAUGCAAUCUCCAUCUUCCACUCCUGUAAGAGGUUGUACUCAAGGGCCAAAUGUUGCAAUGCCUCAAUAUUCAUGUAUUGCAGAUCACAAUGCAGCAACAGGGCAAAGAGGAGAUGAGAGAGAUAUGACUUAAGAAGAAGGUGCUUCUCCAAAUGUGGCAGCUUUAUCACCUGGAACAAGGUUAAAAGAUUUAAGGAGAAAGACCCAAGGUGGAAAGCGUGGAGAAGCAAUAGUGAAGUGCAUAGAAUCAACAGAGAAGCCUAUCGUCAGAAUAUGGCAAAAUACCAUGCUAUCAUGCUAUCAUGCAAGGUCUUGCAGGGUCACUUUAGGAAGACGAAGAAGAGAGUAGGGAAAGGUUCACGGAAAUAAACUCACAAAUGAACUGUCUA